rnacentral:rRNA from 1 species
AUUUAAAAUUUUAUUUAUAUUUAGUUUUUUAUUUUAUUUUGUUUAAAAUAAUAUUUGUUUUUAGUAAUUUUUAUUGAAUCAAUUAUUUUAAUUAUAGUGUAUUAGUAUAGUGUUAGAAAUAUUUUAAAUUUAAAAAAGAAUAAUUUAUUUUUAGUACCUUGUGUAUCAGGGUUUAUUAAUUAAAUUUAUUGGAUUUUAAUUUCUCGAAUUAAAAAGAGCUAAAUUAUUAUUUAUUUUUAUUGUUGAAUAAAUAUUUAAAAUAAUUUUUUGGUAAUGAAACGUUAUUCGUUUUUUAAUAUAUCUAGUUUCUUAAGAAAUGAAUUUAAUUCAGAAUAUUAUUUAAAUUUUAUAUUUUUUUAUUUUGUUUAAUUUAAUAUUUUAAUAGUUUUAGGGAUGAGCUUAAAAAUUAAAUUUUUAUAACUUAGUUAUUUUUUAAAAGAUAAAUAGGAUUAGAAUUUUUUAUUUUUUAUAAUAUUUAAUAAUUAGUCUUUUUGUUUUAAGAUUUAUAUUAAGUUUAAGUUUUAUAUUAAGAAGUUUAAUUUAAUUUAAUAGUUGAAUUUAUAAUGAUAGAAUUAGUAUAAAUUAUUUUAUUUUGUAUUAAUAAUUGUAAGGUUAAGCAAAGGAAUUCGGCAAUCUUUUUUUCACCUGUUUAUUAAAAACAUGGCUUUUUGUUAAAUAUAUAAGGUCUGGCCUGCCCAAUGAUUGAUUCAAUGGCCGCAGUAUUUUGACUGUGCAAAGGUAGCAUAAUCAUUAGUUCUUUAAUUGAGGACUGGAAUGAAUGGUCGGAUGAGAAAAAAACUGUCUCUGUUUAAAUUUUUUAUAACUUUAUUUUUAAGUUAAAAAGCUUAAAUUUUGUUUAAAGACGAGAAGACCCUAUAGAGUUUAAUAAAUUAAAAUGAUUUUUUGUUUUUAAGAAUUAAAUUUUUUAAAGUUGUUUAUUUAUUUGAUUGGGGUGAUUAGAAAAUUAAUUUAACUUUUCUUUAUUUUUUACAUUAAUUUAUGUUUAAUUGAUCCAAUUAUUUUGAUUAAAAGAGUAAAUUACCUUAGGGAUAACAGCGUAAUUUUUUUGGAGAGUUCUUAUCAAUAAAAGAGUUUGCGACCUCGAUGUUGGAUUAAAAUUUAGAACUGGUGCAGAAGCUAGUUUAUUAGGUCUGUUCGACCUUUAAAAUUUUACAUGAUCUGAGUUUAAACCGGUGUGAGCCAGGUUGGUUUCUAUCUUAAUUUGAUUUUAAUGAUUUAGUACGAAAGGACCGAUUAUUAGUAAAAUUUAUUUUUUUUUGAAUAUUAAU